GGAAUAUUGGACAAUGGGGCAACCCUGAUCCAGCCAUGCCGCGUGAGUGAAGAAGGCCUUAGGGUUGUAAAGCUCUUUCAAUAGUGAAGAUAAUGACGGUAGCUAUAGAAGAAGCCCCGGCUAAAUUCGUGCCAGCAGCCGCGGUAAUACGAAUGGGGUAAGCGUUGUUCGGAAUCACUGGGCUUAAAGCGUAUGUAGGCGGACAUGAAAGUCAGGAGUGAAAUCCCAGGGCUCAACCCUGGAACUGCUCUUGAAACUCCAUGUCUAGAAUCCCGGAGGGGCCAGUAGAAUUCCUAGUGUAGAGGUGAAAUUCGCAGAUAUUAGGAGGAAUACCAGUGGCGUAGGCGACUGGCUGGACGGGUAUUGACGCUCAGAUACGAAAGCGUGGGGAGCAAACAGGAUUAGAUACCCUGGUAGUCCACGCCGUAAACGAUGUGUGCUAGUUGUCGGGCCUUAGGGUUCGGUGACGGAGCGAAAGUAUUAAGCACACCGCUUGGGAG
rnacentral:rRNA from 1 species